rnacentral:rRNA from 1 species
AUCGAGUGCGCACUCUGCUGUACCAAUACAGCAGGCCGGCGCACGGCGCACGGGUGCGUAACACGUGGGUAACCUGCCCUGCAAUGGGGGAUAACCCGCCGAAAGGCGGGCUAAUACCGCAUGACAUUCCGGUGGCUUCGGACGCCGGAAUCAAAGCCCGCAAGGGCGUUGGAGGAGGGGCCCGCGGCCGAUUAGCUAGUUGGUGAGGUAACGGCUCACCAAGGCUGUGAUCGGUAGCCGGUCUGAGAGGAUGGCCGGCCACACUGGAACUGAGACACGGUCCAGACUCCUACGGGAGGCAGCAGUGGGGAAUCUUGCGCAAUGGGCGAAAGCCUGACGCAGCGACGCCGCGUGGGGGAUGAAGCUUCUCGGAGUGUAAACCCCUUUCGACCCGGACGAAACGCCCGCAAGGGCUUGACGGUACGGGUAUAAGAAGCCCCGGCUAACUACGUG